UGAGGAAUAUUGGACAAUGGGCGCAAGCCUGAUCCAGCAAUGCCGCGUGCAGGAUGAAGGCCUUCGGGUUGUAAACUGCUUUUGUACGGAACGAAAAAGCUUCUCCUAAUACGAGAGGCCCAUGACGGUACCGUAAGAAUAAGCACCGGCUAACUACGUGCCAGCAGCCGCGGUAAUACGUAGGGUGCAAGCGUUAAUCGGAAUUACUGGGCGUAAAGCGUGCGCAGGCGGUUAUGUAAGACAGAUGUGAAAUCCCCGGGCUCAACCUGGGAACUGCAUUUGUGACUGCAUGGCUAGAGUACGGUAGAGGGGGAUGGAAUUCCGCGUGUAGCAGUGAAAUGCGUAGAUAUGCGGAGGAACACCGAUGGCGAAGGCAAUCCCCUGGGCCUGCACUGACGCUCAUGCACGAAAGCGUGGGGAGCAAACAGGAUUAGAUACCCAGGUAGUCCCUGAGCGGGCUGGCAAGGCGCAU
rnacentral:rRNA from 1 species